rnacentral:rRNA from 1 species
GACGAACGCUGGCGGCGUGCUUAACACAUGCAAGUUGAACGAGUGGCGAACGGGUGAGUAAUACGUGGGUAACCUGCCCUUUACUCGGGUAUAGCCUUUCGAAAGAAAGAUUAAUACCCGAUAUAAAGGAUGGGGAUGCGUUCCAUUAGGUUGUUGGUGUGGUAACGUCUCACCAAGCCUUCGAUGGAUAGGGGUUCUGAGAGGAAGGUCCCUCACAUUGGAACUGAUACACGGUCCAAACUCUGACGGGAGGAAGCAUUGAGGAAUAUUGGUAAAUGGGCGGUAGCCUGAACCAGCCAAGUAGCGUGAAGGAUGAAGGCUUAUGGGUCGUAAACUUCUUUUAUAUAAGAAUAUGUAUUAUAUGAAUAAGGAUCUGCUAACUCCGUGCCAGCAGCCGCGGUAAUUC